rnacentral:rRNA from 1 species
GGCCGCAAGGUUAAAACUCAAAGGAAUUGACGGGGACCCGCACAAGCGGUGGAUGAUGUGGUUUAAUUCGAUGCAACGCGAAAAACCUUACCUACCCUUGACAUGUCUGGAAUCCUGAAGAGAUUUAGGAGUGCUCGAAAGAGAGCCAGAACACAGGUGCUGCAUGGCUGUCGUCAGCUUGUGUCGUGAGAUGUUGGGUUAAGUCCCGCAACGAGCGCAACCCUUGUCAUUAGUUGCUACGAAAGGGCACUCUAAUGAGACUGCCGGUGACAAACCGGAGGAAGGUGGGGAUGACGUCAAGUCAUCAUGGCCCUUAUGGGUAGGGCUACACACGUCAUACAAUGGACGGUACAGAGGGUUGCCAACCCGCGAGGGGGAGCUAAUCCCAUAAAACCGUUCGUAGUCCGGAUUGCAGUCUGCAACUCGACUGCAUGAAGUCGGAAUCGCUAGUAAUCGCGGAUCAGCUUGCCGCGGUGAAUACGUUCCCGGGUCUUGUACACACCGCCCGUCACACCAUGGGAGUGGGGUUUACCAGAAGUAGUUAGCCUAACCGCAAGGAGGGCGAUUACCACGGUAGGCUUCAUGACUGGGGUGAAGUCGUAACAAGGUAACCGU